AUCCCAGUGAGUAGACAGACAUCAUCAAAAUAAUCUAAAGUCGAGUAAUAGGAGACAAUUAAAAUAAUUCAUCCCAACCCAUAUAAAUAAUUGGAUUUCAUCCAAUUACUCAAUAUGGCUUAUGUACUUUUCAAAAACUUAGCCCUUACCAAAAAUCCAUUCUCGGGGAUACCCCGCGAAGGCAUCUUACCGAGACCGCCAAGGCUGUUUAUUGUCACACACACAAACACAUUUCACCUCUAACAACACAGUCGUUCCUCGUCGUUGGCUGAGUCCCAGUUUCACGUGGUGGCCAGCGUGAAGUGUACUCAAAUCCUACCUCGGGAGUUAUCCUACGCGCCUCUCCAAUUGAGGUAAGCUCAAUAAUUGAGAAUCGUGCCCCUCUAAUUAGGCUGACCCACGGAACCCCCGUCACUGCAGUGCCCACUUUAUAAUCCACAAACCAAUAAAAUCACAAUAGUAUAACAUGGCUCACUUAACACAUUCAAGGCAAAUCAAAGCAGUUCACAUAUUCUUAAAAUCAUAAAAAUAACCAAUCAUACCCACAUUUAUCAUAAGCCAUUUAAUGUAAAAUCAUAGAUAAACAACACAAUCAUAGUAUAGGUCUCCAAUUACUCUAUUUUUGAAAUCAUUAUUAAAUUUUCAAAAAUUUUAUAAAAUUAUUUUAUAAAAUCCCAUUUUUCCAUAAAACACAAUAAUUUUCCAAUUAAACCAUUUUUUCAUAAAAUCACACAAUUAAAUAAAUCUACUCUAGAUAAUUAAGACGAUAGUAAGUUUACUCACCGUACUAGGAGUAGAUAUACUCCUAUUCUCGGUCCUCGGGUGUAGUCUUUUACUUGUAUCAGAUAGCUCACCACCUAUCCACAAUACAUGACACAAAAAAUUCAAUAAUUUGUGUCAAAUCAAUAUAUAUUAUUUCAGGCUCUUAUCAAUGUGUAUGCACUAGAUAGGGUGUGAAAUGUUUGGACAAUUGCUUAAUCACAAUAUCCGACCUAACUCGCCUAUACACGGUGUAAAUUUCUAAAAUCUCCAAUUCAACUCCAAUUCCAUCCAUUUCAAUUUCAAUUAUCCAAUUAUAUCCACAAUACCUCAAUGAUUGUGAAUGUGGUCCAAUUUAUCAGUUCGGACCACAAAUUACGCUUUUACCCCUAGUGGGUAAAAAUUUUAAUUUUUUUGCACCAAAAAUUUCCAUUAAAUUUCCAACCUCAUAAUUCAUCAUUUUUCCAUCUAAUUCUCUUAAAAUAAAGUCAACCUCAUCUUCACACACCAUUGGUUAGAUUCGGCCUAGAGAAAUUCAUGGAGAAAAUGAAUAUUUUUCUUGUUGUUUUACUCAUAAACAUGCUAAACUAACACUAAACACUAACAUAGUUCAAAAUCAAAUUAAUCUAACAACUUUCUCUCUCUAAACCCAUAUGAUCAGAUUUGAAUCCAUCAUCAAAACACAUAAUUUAACCAUAGAAAAUAAGGAGAAAUGCAUGGAAAUGAUAAAUCUUAAGCUAAGCUUGAAAAAUCAUACCUUUAAACACUUGAUUCCUUGAAAAAUCACACUUUUUCUUUGAAUUUUCUCACUCUAGGGUUUGUUCUUAUUUCUCUCUCUCUCCUGCUGGUUUUGGCUGACCCUCCCAAUGAAGAAUUCUGGAAUUUUCAAGCCUUUUAAUAGGCUUAAUAAAAUAUUAUUAUUUUAUUUACCUUUUGAAUAUUUUAUUAUUUUAUUUUUUUCUAGUCAUCUUUUUGACUUUAUUUUUCUACCACUCAAUCCUCUUCACUUAUCCAUGUCUUCCAUGAAAUUUCUAGACUUUUCCAAAGUUUUGGUGGGGUAAAUUUUUAAAAAUUACACUUUUACCCCCGUAAAGUGAAAAAUUACAUUUUUGCCCCAAAAACUGAAAAAUUGCCCAUAGACAUAUUUUUCAUCCCUUAUACUCAUACCAUUCUCCAAUUUGUCAAAUGUGAUCUAAGUUCUCUCAAAAUCUCAAAAUUUAUCCGUGAGUGGAAAAAUUACGAUUUUGCCCCUAGAUAGUGAAAAUUUCGGUUUGACUCCAAAUUGAUCCUCGAACUCCGAAUUACCAUUUUGAGUCAUCCCUGAACUGUGAAACUCUUAAUUUCACCUUAAAAUUCCUAUUUGAACUAGUUCGAGGCUUAAUCGACUCAAUGGUACCAUUAGGGGCAAUAUCGUCUUUUAACAAUUUCUCGAACUUCCUAAAUAUACAAACAUUCUAUCGAGCAUGUAAAUGACGUAAUAAUUAUUUUACAAAGCAGGGUUUGACAACACUACCCCCCUUAAAAAAAAAAUUUUGUCCCCAAAAUUUCACUUAUCAAACUCCAAGAAAAGAUAGGGGUAUUAGCUUUUAUCCAAUGUUCAACAUCUCAUGUCAUCUCCUUCGUUUGAGCAUUCUUCCACAAUCCUUUAACUAUUGAGAUGUUCUUUUCGUUGCUCUACCUACAUCACUCAUCAUACAUGAAAUUUAAAUCUUGAACCACUCAGGAUCAUUCUUCACUUUAGUUACCCAUAUUACUAAUCCCUACACAUGUGGGGUUGCACUUUCAUUCUCAUCAAUGCCUCAAAGAUUCAUCUUUCAUGUCUUAUGCAUUUCUGAACUCCAAUUUCCACAAUACAUUAAGAAAAUUCCAUAGCGAUAUUUUACAUAAACUCAUUUAUUAUAUUAUUCUUAAAAGCUUUAUUUACACUCUCAGAACUUAGUAUUUACAUCUCUUAUCAUUAUCUUACAUUUCCACCUAACUUUUCAUUCACUUUCUCUAGGUUGGACUCGUGCUUCAUCUUCCAUUACCGUAAAAACUUUUGUUGACGCACGAGUCAGUGGUUUGGAAGGUGGGUAUACUGGGGUGUUACUCUCCACAUCAGGCCGAAUAGCUACUCCCUGUCUCGGUUGUGCUCCAGAGGAAUCUCUCAUCUGCAAGUCCGUACGAGUUGAUGAAGAUAGAGCAGCUACAGUGGCCUGUCCUAACUGUGGACAAUUAGUUCUAAAGUGACCCGUCUGGCCACAAUGAAAACAUCGCAAAGGCCCCCAACACACCCCGCCAUGAAAUCUUCCACAUUCUCUACAUCUAUCAAAACCUCCGAAACUUUUUUCAGAAGUAGUCACUGCAGAUCCGCUGAAUCUCGGAGGCCUCUGCUGCAUUUGUGAAAAUGAUGGUCGAGAGGAUGUUACCGAAACAGAAGGAGCACUCCCUGAAACAAAUGAGCCUUUGCUCCUCUUUAGUGGCUGACUAGAGGACAUAUUCGGAUUUUUCCUUUUUGCCAACUCAGCUCGCAUUCUCCUAUUUUCAUUUGCGAGCUUCUCAGCCCUUAAGGCCAUUUGUACUACCUCUUUAUGGGGCUCCCUACCUGUCACAGUCAUUCGCUCUCUUAUCUCAUUGCGGAGCCCUUCCUCGAAAUAAUCGGCCUGAUCCUGUUCAGUCCUCACUAAAUCAGGCACAUAAGACAACAGCUCGUUAAAUUGAGUCUCAUACUCUUCUACAGUUAAAUUCCCCUGCUUCAGACUCAAAAAUUCUCUCUUCUUCUCUUUUUGAUGGAAAUGGGUAUAAUAUUGACUAUCAAAUUCCCUCAGAAAGUCUGACCAAGUUAGGAGAAUAGUGGAACGGGACUUCACUGAAUUCCACCAUGUACGGGCUCUCUUCUCCAAUAACCUCGUAGCCACUAUCAGCUUCAUCUCAUCCUCCAAUCUCAUAUCAGAGAGUGUCUCUGAAACCUGAUUAAUCCAAUCCUUAGCUGCGGUGGCGUCCAACUCACCCACAAAGGACACGCAACCCAGUUGUCUAGCCUCCUUCAGCUUUUUAGAAAUAGAGACAUCAUGUGCCAAUGGAACUGAAGGAGUAACUGGUGGCACUACAGGUGGGACCUGACUAGUCUGAGCUUGACCAGCCAUUGCGGUAAAGAAGGCUGCCAUUGCCUGGAUUACCUCAGAAGACACGGCAGGAAUGCCAGUAGGUGGCGGAGGAAUCUCUACCGGUUCAGCAGCAAGUGUUGCUCGAAAAGGAGACACAGUCGAUUCCUCUCCUCUAAGGUCUGGCUGACCCUGCCUAAGACGACCUCUGCCCCUCCUAGCUGAUCUAGUAGGGAGUGGGCGCUCACGUCGAGGAGGCAUGGUAAUCUAAAAAGGAAACGAGGCAAGUUUAAGUAAUCUCAAACUCUACAUACAUGCAACUCUACCUAACCCAACUUAACUUAACCUAGUUUAACUCAACCCGGGGCCACACAGUGCCAGUGUGAAUUCUUAAAAUAACUAUAAAAAUCAAAAACUUUAAAACCAUGCUUUGUUAACCAAAAGCUCUGAUACCAAUCGAAUUGUCACGACCCGGAACUCCCAUCGAGCCCGUGACAACCACCGCGAAGCCUCGACAGACAUUCUUCCCCCGAAUGCCCUUCGAGACCUCGCAAGGCUUUCGUACCAGUUUUUCCAUUUUUCUCUCUUGUUUUCUUUUUUUUUUUUUUGAAUAAUAAAAUAAACUAAAAAUAUUAAUUAAAAUAAUCUAUUUUAAUGUAAAAAUAUAUAUAUAUAUGUAUAUUUUUGAAACAUCAAAAAAUUAAUUUUCUGCACAUAAAAAUAAAAUAAAUUUAUACAUACUAUAAUAUAGAAAACUAGAGUAUGCAAUUUAAAUUACAAUGACACGUGAGCCCCCAAAUAACUGAGAAGGUUUAAGUCUAUAACCUUGCUUUCUAAGAUGCAACUCCGAAAUUUACUUCUCGAUGCAAUUGACAGUCUACUGCCUAUUCUGAGCCUGAAAAAUGUAUAGGAAGAAGGGGUGAGAUUAUAAAAUCCCAGUGAGUAGACAGACAUCAUCAAAAUAAUCUAAAGCCGAGUAAUAGGAGACAAUUAAAAUAAUUCAUCUCAACCCAUAUAAAUAAUUGGAUUUCAUCUAAUUACUCAACAUGGCUUAUGCACUUUUCAAAAACUUGGCCCUUGCCAAAAAUCCAUUCUCGGGGAUACCUCGCGAAGGCAUCUUACCGAGACCGCCAAGGCUGUUUAUUGUCACACACACAAACACAUUUCACCUCUGACAACACAGCCGUUCCUUGGCGUUGGCUGAGUCCCAAUUUCACGUGGUGGCCAGCGUGAAGUGUACUCAAAUCCUACCUCGGGAGUUAUCCUACGCGCCUCUCCAAUCGAGGUAAGCUCAAUAAUUGGGAACCGUGCCCCUCUAAUUAGGCUGGCCCACGGAACCCCCGUCACUGCAGUGCCCACUUUAUAAUCCACCAACCAAUAAAAUCACAAUAGUAUGACAUGGCUCACUUAACACAUUCAAGGCAAAUCAAAGCAGUUCACAUAUUCUUUAAAUCAUAAAAAUAACCAGUCAUACCCACAUUUAUCAUAAGCCAUUUAAUGUAAAAUCAUGGAUAAACAACACAAUCAUAGUAUAGGUCUCCAAUUACUCUAUUUUUGAAAUCAUUAUUAAAUUUUCAAAAAUUUUAUAAAAUUAUUUUAUAAAAUCCCAUUUUACCAUAAAACACAAUAAUUUUCCAAUUAAACCAUUUUUCCAUAAAAUCACACAAUUAAAU
rnacentral:lncRNA from 1 species